GAUGAACGCUGGCGGCGUGCUUAACACAUGCAAGUCGAACGGAAAGGCCCAAGCUUGCUUGGGUACUCGAGUGGCGAACGGGUGAGUAACACGUGGGUGAUCUGCCCUGCACUUCGGGAUAAGCCUGGGAAACUGGGUCUAAUACCGGAUAGGACGAUGGUUUGGGUGCCAUUGUGGAAAGUUUUUUCGGUGUGGGAUGAGCUCGCGGCCUAUCAGCUUGUUGGUGGGGUAAUGGCCUACCAAGGCGUCGACGGGUCGCCGGCCUGAGAGGGUGUACGGCCACAUUGAGACUGAGACACGACCCAGACUCCUACGGGUGGGAGCAGUGGGGAAUAUUGCACAAUAGGCGCGAGCCUGAUGCAGCGACGCCGCGUGGGGGAUGACGGCCUUCGGGUUGGAAACACCUUGCGCUAGGGACGAAGCGUUUCUGUGACGGUACCUGGAGAAGAAGCACCGGCUAACUACGUG
rnacentral:rRNA from 1 species